ACCAUGCAAGUCGAACGGCAGCACGGGGGCAACCCUGGUGGCGAGUGGCGAACGGGUGAGUAAUACAUCGGAACGUGCCCAUGUCGUGGGGGAUAACGUAGCGAAAGCUACGCUAAUACCGCAUACGAUCUACGGAUGAAAGCGGGGGAUCGCAAGACCUCGCGCGAUUGGAGCGGCCGAUGGCAGAUUAGGUAGUUGGUGGGGUAAAGGCUCACCAAGCCUGCGAUCUGUAGCUGGUCUGAGAGGACGACCAGCCACACUGGGACUGAGACACGGCCCAGACUCCUACGGGAGGCAGCAGUGGGGAAUUUUGGACAAUGGGCGCAAGCCUGAUCCAGCCAUUCCGCGUGCAGGAUGAAGGCCUUCGGGUUGUAAACUGCUUUUGUACGGAACGAAACGGUGAUCUCUAAUACAGGUUGCUAAUGACGGUACCGUAAGAAUAAGCACCGGCUAACUACGUGCCAGCAGCCGCGGUAAUACGUAGGGUGCGAGCGUUAAUCGGAAUUACUGGGCGUAAAGCGUGCGCAGGCGGUGAUGUAAGACAGGCGUGAAAUCCCCGGGCUUAACCUGGGAACUGCGCUUGUGACUGCAUUGCUGGAGUGCGGCAGAGGGGGAUGGAAUUCCGCGUGUAGCAGUGAAAUGCGUAGAUAUGCGGAGGAACACCGAUGGCGAAGGCAAUCCCCUGGGCCUGCACUGACGC
rnacentral:rRNA from 1 species